CCAACCAACUGCAUUAGGGACUGAAUAAAGGAUGCCCUCUGUAGCUGGGAAUGUUAGAUCAGGCGGAUCAACAUUCCAUCCAUCUGCAUUAGGAUCUACCUUAGAGACACUCACUGGAGCUGUAAAUGGGAAGCAGGCCACUUACUUUGCAUUCGUCCUUGGUGGUCACCCCAGGGUCUCUAGAGUGAAAAUUACUCAAUCUAUGGAUUAAACAGAAAAUUUAGUUGUAUGAAGUGGCUCCGUCCUAGAAGGCUGCAUGUCUCGGCUGCCACGUCAUCAAGCAUCGUCGAAGGACAUCUCAAUCUGCUUGUUUUCUAUUUUGUUGUUUUAAUUUAAUUACAAAAUGUUUAACUGUCCAUGUUGUAAAGACAGUUGAUACAUGACUUUUAUUCACUGUACUACAUUAUUGGAUUUUUUUGGUGAUGCAUUGCUAAUUUUCAACUUCUCUCUUUAAAGUUUUCAUGCCAUGAUCACUGGGGCAGAAAACAUUAUUACGUUGCCUUGGACAUCAAACUAAACCAUCUCAUUUUGGCUUUUUUCUAACAUCGAAAUCUCAGAAGGCCAGGACUAAGAUGGACGCAGCCUCCACAUGCAACCUUGCAUUUGAGGAACACCCAUAGAACGGAGAAAGUCAUGGGUUCUGCUGCUGAGGUUGUCAUAAAGCAUGCUUUUUCCAUUUGUUGCAUUGGGCAAUAUUAUCAAAAGAUUCUGAAAGAAAUAAGAUAAUUUUCAAAGCAUUAACAUGAAUAUGAAAGCAUUAAGUCAUUAAUGACCAUCUUUUAUUAUUGUUUAUUUAUAGUGUCUUUUAUUCUGCUUACCUGACUCAUGCAGAAUUCUGGCUUGAUGUUUGGUCCACCUGUUAGCUGGCUCUGGUGCUUGGUAGUCUUCUCAAACCUCUGAAUCAAGGCCACCAUGAGAGGCCUUCUGAAGACCAUCAUUACGCUUCAGAUCCAGUUGUCUUAACUAUGAGCCUACCACAAUCCCUGUGCACCAGCUAUGGAAAGUGCAGACCAAACUUCUACCUCCACCUAUAGAACUGAACUGGAGUCUGUGAACUAAUGCUGUGUUCGAGACAACUGGAACAGCAAACAAAAUCCUUUCUCUUUUUAAUGCAGCACUUAAGGAUGAACCACCCUGAUCUACUAAGAUGCACAGAUUCAACUCUGGCCCAGCAUCAUCCCCACACCUCAUCUGCCAUCAGUUUAAUUUAAUGUCUGUCAAUUGCAAAUGCUAUUUAUUUCAGUUAUAUUACAACUUAAUGUUAACUUUAAUUGAGACUAGUAUUGUGUAAAGCUGGGGUUUCCAAACUUUUCAUAUCAAAACCUAUUAAACAAGUGU